rnacentral:lncRNA from 10 species
UGUUCCUGAAGUCUACACCUGAGCUUGCAGUAUAACUUUUGUUUGUAUUUUGCUUAAGCCAGUUUGAAUGGGAUUUAUGCUACUUAGAAUAAAAGGGUCCUGAGAAUCUUUCUGCUACUGAGAAAGAUCACAGAAUAGUGAGUGCUUCUGUCCCCAGGGCACUCCUGGGAGGCAGUUUGCAAAUGCAUUGGGGAGGAGAUGAGAUUUUCUGAAGUCAGAUUGUGGUGAACAGGGCAUAUCCUCAGGAAAGCACAGAAUGCCACAGCUAGCCAGGCUGUGAAAGGCUCUCUGGAGCCUGGAAUGCCGUCAUUGUUCUGAGGUUUUGCAUCAUGUCUAAAGUCACUGUCCUGUCCUCCUAACAGGAGAAUGGAGUCCCAGAAACCUAGGAGGAGAAGACAAAGUGUCAGCCUCUCGGCAUCUGCAGUGUUGCUAGGAAAAGAGCUCUGAUCCCAGGGGCUUACCCACUUCCACAGGAUCAUCCUCUGCAUAUGAAGGAACAGACAAGCCCUCAGCUCUACCACUUUGGAGAGGGGGGGAUUGGACAGCAUGAGCCUUCAAUUGUAUCUCUUGGAUGACCAAGGAAGGCUGGAUUUCUGCACCUAAAAAAUGGAAGCACAAACUGUACAACAAAUACUCUCCAUUCAAGUUGAAGUUCUCAAAUAAGGUUCUUUUCAAGGUGUUGGUGACACAGAUAUGAGGAAAACAGAGUUGACUCAUGGUGAUGGAGCUUACAUUCUAUGGGGCAAGAGUGAGCAGAGGUUUUGAAAGGUUCACUCCAGCUACUCUGUUGACAAUGGAUUAUAGAAGACUGAACAUGGAAUCCAGGAGACCAGUCAGAAAACUUCUUCAGGAAUCCAGCACAGUCUUGGCCUGUUCUGGAGAAUGCUCCCCAUCAAAAAUAAUUGACUGGAGACAAGCCAAGUCAGGAUUCUCCCUGGGAUCAAUUUCUGAUGGCGCUUUCUUCAUAAACAGGGGGACCUUUUCAAAUUCCUCUUCCCACUGGUCCUCAUGAAAGCCGCCACGGUAAGGCUGGCUCUGGAACUUUUCCAGGAACAAGUCCGUGGCAUCGUCUGAGGUGGGGUCCUGCUCAGGUUACUCCAUAACUGAUGCCCUGCCCUCCAGCCCAGGUCCCGGCACCGUGAAGUGUAGAAAAUACUCUACAAUGAAUAAAAAUAAAAUACAAUAUUCAAGAUUUAUGAAUGCAAUAAAAGCAGUGGUCAGAAGGAACAUUUAAGCUCUAAACACAUUAAAAAAGAAGAAUGAUAUUAAUAGAAAAUCUAAUUGUGUAUCUUACAUAACUAGAAAAUGAAAAGCAGUCUAAAGCCAAAGCAUGAAGGAGGUAGGAAAUAAUGAUUAGAGGAAACAUAAAUGACAUAGAGAAUAGAAAAACAAGAGAGAGUAUCAAUGAACCUAAAAUUUGGUUCUUUAAAAAGAUUACCAGAUUUGACAAACCUUUAGCUAUACUAAUAAUAGAAGACUAAAAUAAAUAAAAUUAAAAAUGAAAUCAUAGACAUUAUAACUGAUACCAUAGAAAUACAAAGGAUCAAAAGAAACUACUAAUGAACAAUUAUAUGCCAACAAAUUGGAUUACCUACAGGAAAUUGAUGAAUUCCUACAACAUACAACCUACCAACGCUGAAUCAUGAAGAAAUAGAAAAUCUAAACAGACCAAUAGUGAGUAAAGAGAUUGAGUCUGUAAUCAAAAAUCUUACAAAAAAGAAAAGCUCAGUAUCAGACAGCUUCACUGAUGAGUUCUAUCAGUCCUUUAAUGAAAAUUUAUACCAAUCAUUGCCAAACUCUUUCAUAAAAUUGAAGAGAUGAGAAUAGUUCAUAAUUCAUUGUAUGAGGCUGGCAUUACGUAGAUACAAAGCCAGACAAAGACAUUACAAGAUUGUCUCUUUUAAGUAUAGAUGCAAAGCCUCUUGAUAAAAUCCUAUCAAACUGAAUACAGCAGCAUAUUAAAGGGAUCAUACUCCAUGACAAAUGGGAUUUAUCUCAGUAAUGCAAGAAUGGUUCAACGUAUGAAAAUCACUCAAUGUAAGAAACCACAUGAAUAGAAUGAAGGGAGAAAAAAGACCCCAAAAUAUACGAACAUUUCAGUUGAUGCAGAGGAAUCAUUUGAUAAAGUUCAACAUUCUUUUAAAACACUCAGUAAAUGAAGAAUAAAAGAUAUCUUCCAUAACACGAUAAAGGUGAUAUAUGAAAAACCCACAGCUAACAUCACACCCAAUAUUGAAAGACUCAAAGCUUUCCCUUAACAAUGGGAACGAGAGCAGGAUUCCUACUGUCGCUAUUUUUACUCAAUAUAGUAGUAGAAAUUCUAGCCAGAGCAAUUAGAGAAGUCAAAUAAAUGAAAAUCUUACAAAUUGAAAAGAGAGAAGUUCUCCAUUCACAGAUGACCUGGUCUUAUGUGUAGAAAGCUCUAAGGAUUUAAUAACAAAACUAUUAGAGCUAAUAAAUGAAUUAAGCAAAGUUGUAGGACAAAAAAACAAUAAACAAAAUCAGUUGUGUUUCUAUACACUAGAAAUAAGCAAUAGGACAAGUUUUUUAAAACUUUCUUUUUAUAGUAGCAUCUGAAAGAACAGAUAUGUAGGAAUUUAAUCGGAAAUUAAAGACGUACUGAAAACUACAAAACAUUGCUGAAAUAAAGAAGUCAUAAAUCAAUGGAAUGUGUUCAUGGUGUAAGAUUUAAUAUUGUUAAGGUGAUAAUGCUACUCGAUUUGCUUUGCUAAUCAAAGCAAUCUACAGAUUGAAUCCAACAAUUUUUUUUUUCUUGUGGAAAUAGAAAACCCAUUCUAAAGUUCAUAUGAAAUCUUAAGGGACCUUGCAUAGCCAAAACAAUCUUGAAAAGAAUAAAUGUGGACAACUCACAUUUCCUGAUUUCAAAACUUAUCACAAAGAUACAGUAAUCAAAACAGUGAGGUACUUGUAUAAAGACAGACAUACAGACCAAUAGAUUUGAAUAGAUAUUCCAGAAGUAAACUCUCACAUACACAGACAAUUGAUUUUUGACAAGGGCACAAAAGCCAUUCAAUGGGGAAAAGGACAAUCUUUUCAACAAAUGGUGCUGGGAAAACUGUGUAUCCACAUGUAAAAAAAUGAAGUCAAACCUUUUCCUCAAAUUAUAUACAGAAAUUCACCAAAAAUGAAUAAAAUACUUAAAUAUAAGAACUAAAACUAUAAAACUCUUAGAGGAAAACAUACAACUAAAUCUUCAUGAUAUUAAUUUCUUAGAUAUGACACCAAAAGGAUGAGGAAUAACAAAAAUAGAUAAACUGAAGGGUAGAAAGCAAAGUGAUAAUGGAAGAUGAGAGUCGAGUGAUGUGACCAGGAGCCAAGGAAUGCCAUGGCCUCUAGAUGUGGGGAGUUAAGGGACCAAUUUUCCCUGGAAACUCCUGAAGGAACUUGCCAUGCCAACACCUUGAUUAUAGCCCUUUAAGAUACAUUUUGGACUGUUGAUCUCCAGGAUUGUAAGAUAAUACAUUCGUGUUGAUUUAAGCCACUGAAUAUGUGGUGAUUUGUUACAGCAGCAAUAGUAAACUGAUACACAAUCUCAAUGAAAGUAGGGAUUUCUGUCUUCCCACACCCUGCUCACUUCACUAGAGAAUUUAUAGCACUUAGUGUAUUCUUCGAUAAAUAUUUGUUGAGUAAGAUGAAUGAAGCCAGACUUUAGAGUCAGAUUACACUUGGCUGGUUAACUGUUGUGAGGAAAGCAGUUGAAAGUUCUCUUGGCCUUGCUUCUACUUGCACUGGGAAGCACUGUCAUCAAUGAAGGGGUUGCUGUGGGUUUCAAGAGAAAAGAAAAGGUGUGAGAAUCUCCCAGGUACAGUGGGAGCUCAUCUGGACUAGGGAAAUAAAAUAGGAUUGCUUGGUUAUUGCUCACUUGGUCACUAAUAUAACAUGAAUUGAGACAGUAUGGUUGUAUAUUUUUCUCCAAUUAAGGUUAUGGGGUGGCAUGGCCUAGGGGAAGUUACUUAUUUUGCAAGGGUGAUUUGAUAGAGGCAGCAAGCCAGGUAGCUGGGAUGUUUGCAAGGGCAUGAUCAUAAUGGUGUACCAUGCAAUUUAAGCAGGGGCAGGUGGAAAUAAGGACUUGAUGUGAUAUGUUCAGAUCCAUGAAUAAGACAUCAUAACAGGAGUCACAGUAUUGUCAGACUAGAAGUACUGGAGGAAGGGAGCUGGACAUUUGAAAGAGAUGGGAGGGUGGAAUGUUUGAGAUUGAGUGAAUGGAGGUGCUGUGUUCAUUUGGUCAUGCUAAGGUCUUGGGGUGGCCAUGGGAGGGGUGGGUGGCUGAGGUGGGGCAGAGGACAGACUCAUCUGGAGAUGAUGCAAUAAAUGAAGGGGAAAGCUAGGCCCUGCAAGGAGCUCUCUUGUGUGUAUUAAAAUCAUCAAAAACUGUGGCAGGAGUGAUUGCAGAGAUCCUAGUGACCCAUGAUCAAGGAAUGAAGAGGAAGACCAGCGGUCUAGAGAUUACUGCACAUGUGGGGUGGGAAGAGGGCGGUAACAGAUGACAAUCAUUAAUUUGAUAAAAAAGUAUUGAAUGUCUGCUCUGUGCCAGGCACAUGGUGGUAGGGUCUGAUGGGAGGUUAAAGGGAAGAGAGGUGGAUAAUGUUCUGGAGAUUUCAAUGAGCAAGAAGGGUAUUUAGCCCACAUUGAGGCCCAACAGAUUGAAGCCUUAAAAGAAAACAGCAACACCUGAGAAGGAUGCCAGGAAAUGAGUCCUAGGGGUACAUGUGGAGUCAGCUGGAGCACAUCCAGGAAGAAGGACAGAAGAAAGACUGUGAAGGACUUGAGUCAGGGAGGGGUGUGAGCUGACUCAGAAAGGGUGAUGCAUGGGUAGGCCAUGGGGUGAGGGAUGAACGGGAGUCUUGGAUUUCCUGUGGUCACUCAGGGAAACCCAGCAGCUAAAAGUAAGUGAUUUAAGCAAAUGAAUGGACAGAUGAAUUAAUGAAUAGACUAAAGAUGGACAAAUGCUUCCACCAGCCUUGCUUCAGGCCCUAUUUAGAACUGAAGUUGACUUCCUCUUUCUUUUAAUAGCUGCAAAAAUGAUGAAUUUGAUUUUCGUCUCUAGAAGCAAUUUCCUUUUUAAAUCAGGUGAGGAUCUUGGCAGAUGCGAAGAAUCUUUCAGAACCUGCAUGUAUAUGAGAAAGGGAUAUGACAGCAUGAAGUUCUCCUGUUUGAAGAAGCUAAAUGGAGCCACUUUUUGACUCAGUUGACUGGGACCUGGAGCUGGUGCACUAUUUGAAUUGCAUGGUGUGCCUGCCGCUGCCUUUUGACUUCUCCAGCCUGUACACCUGCCUUUUUGGGGAGAACUGUGGUAACAUAUGGGGAGGCGUCCUGUAUUUUCUGCAAUAUCUGACAAAGAAAAACUAGUUGGUUCAUAUGUAUAUAUGAUCUUUCAACAAGAACGUCAAAUAAAUAUCUUCACUCCUUGGGGAGAAGCAGGUCAGAGCCCCACUGUCUCAGCUAGCUCUCACUUGGCUGUCUUGUUUUGGGGCUGGAAGGCCACACUGUGUUUCCUGGGGUAGAGGCGGAGUCUGGGCAUUCUCCCUUUGUAGCUGAGAGCUAAGAGCAGUUGUGUCUGCUUUGAUAAAAUAAAGUUAUUUUUUAGUUUAGUCUGAUCUCCAAAUCCUUCCCUUUCAGAUACCUCUGCCAUCCAAGAUCAGGGGAUACUAAAUUUUCAAAGCAUUUUCUCAGGAGUUGCAUGAGAAAACAUACACCUGCUCUUGUUUUCAAGGGGUGUGGGCAAGAAGUAAAAAGGACAAACUGUUAAUGAGAACACUUUCUGUAUUCCUCCCUCCCCACUGAUACAUACCAGUACCAUAAAAUUUAAAAUGAGUCAAAUGACUGCAGUAAGACUUUACUUUGGUAUACGAGGCAAAAUGUUGGACAUGGGUGCUAAUUAAUCAUCAGAGAGUUACAGGGGAACCUGGACGAAUUAAGACUGGGGCAAGAGACAGCUCAUCAAGGAUCUUGCCCUGUAGCUCAAGAAGAAAAUGUUUAACUUAGUUGCCUGGACACUCUGAGGAUAGAAUGAAAUGCUGUAUGCGACCUGUUGGCCUUGGAAGCCGGCAUGGAUUCAGCACCCAGGGUUGGGGUGAACCUUCUCUCCCUCACUGUGUCAGGCAUCUUAGUCUGCCCCAGGAUGUGCAGGCUGCCUGUCCCUGGCCUCACAUCCUGCUGUAAGUGGGAUUGUGACCCCCUGAAAUGCAUAUGUUGAAGCCCUAACUGCCUCUGUGAUGGUAUUUGGAGGUGAAGCCUUUGGGAGAUAAUUAGGGUUAGAUGAAGUCCUAAGGACCUCCAUGAUGGGAUUAGUGUCCUUACAAGAAGAGGAAGAGACACCAGAGCUUCCCCUCUCUCACCUGUGAGGACAGAGGUAGCAGGUGGCUGUG